AGUUUGAUCCUGGCUCAGAUUGAACGCUGGCGGCAGGCCUAACACAUGCAAGUCGAGCGGUUGACGGGAGCUUGCUCCCUGAUUCAGCGGCGGACGGGUGAGUAAUGCCUAGGAAUCUGCCUAUUAGUGGGGGACAACGUUUCGAAAGGAACGCUAAUACCGCAUACGUCCUACGGGAGAAAGCAGGGGACCUUCGGGCCUUGCGCUAAUAGAUGAGCCUAGGUCGGAUUAGCUAGUUGGUGAGGUAAUGGCUCACCAAGGCGACGAUCCGUAACUGGUCUGAGAGGAUGAUCAGUCACACUGGAACUGAGACACGGUCCAGACUCCUACGGGAGGCAGCAGUGGGGAAUAUUGGACAAUGGGCGAAAGCCUGAUCCAGCCAUGCCGCGUGUGUGAAGAAGGUCUUCGGGUUGUAAAGCCCUUUUGUUGGGAAAGAAAAGCAGUCGGUUAAUACCCGAUUGUUCUGACGGUACCCAAAGAAUAAGCACCGGCUAACUUCGUGCCAGCAGCCGCGGUAA
rnacentral:rRNA from 1 species